GGUGAGAUGGCUCAGUGGUUAAGAGCACCGUCUGAUCUUCGGAAGGUCCUGAGUUCAAAUCCCAGCAACCA
rnacentral:tRNA from 1 species